rnacentral:misc_RNA from 1 species
GCUGAAUACUUCCCCCACGGUCUUCGCCGUACGCCUUUGUAGAUAGAGGACAAAAUUCGAGUUUUCCUCUUGUUGUCAUGGAGCUUAGAAUUACUUCUGAUUUUNNUGCCUCGACUGUUAUUAUUUUCUUGUGAAGAAUUCUCAGCACUUGAUUCAUUUGGAGGAAGUAAGAUGUUAAUCUCUCUCACAAAACGCUUAGAACCCAU